GAUGAACGCUGGCGGCGUGCCUAAUACAUGCAAGUCGAGCGAACGGACGAGAAGCUUGCUUCUCUGAUGUUAGCGGCGGACGGGUGAGUAACACGUGGAUAACCUACCUAUAAGACUGGGAUAACUUCGGGAAACCGGAGCUAAUACCGGAUAAUAUUUUGAACCGCAUGGUUCAAAAGUGAAAGACGGUCUUGCUGUCACUUAUAGAUGGAUCCGCGCUGCAUUAGCUAGUUGGUAAGGUAACGGCUUACCAAGGCAACGAUGCAUAGCCGACCUGAGAGGGUGAUCGGCCACACUGGAACUGAGACACGGUCCAGACUCCUACGGGAGGCAGCAGUAGGGAAUCUUCCGCAAUGGGCGAAAGCCUGACGGAGCAACGCCGCGUGAGUGAUGAAGGUCUUCGGAUCGUAAAACUCUGUUAUUAGGGAAGAACAUAUGUGUAAGUAACUGUGCACAUCUUGACGGUACCUAAUCAGAAAGCCACGGCUAACUACGUGCCAGCAGCCGCGGUAAUACGUAGGUGGCAAGCGUUAUCCGGAAUUAUUGGGCGUAAAGCGCGCGUAGGCGGUUUUUUAAGUCUGAUGUGAAAGCCCACGGCUCAACCGUGGAGGGUCAUUGGAAACUGGAAAACUUGAGUGCAGAAGAGGAAAGUGGAAUUCCAUGUGUAGCGGUGAAAUGCGCAGAGAUAUGGAGGAACACCAGUGGCGAAGGCGACUUUCUGGUCUGUAACUGACGCUGAUGUGCGAAAGCGUGGGGAUCAAACAGGAUUAGAUACCCUGGUAGUCCACGCCGUAAACGAUGAGUGCUAAGUGUUAGGGGGUUUCCGCCCCUUAGUGCUGCAGCUAACGCAUUAAGCACUCCGCCUGGGGAGUACGACCGCAAGGUUGAAACUCAAAGGAAUUGACGGGGACCCGCACAAGCGGUGGAGCAUGUGGUUUAAUUCGAAGCAACGCGAAGAACCUUACCAAAUCUUGACAUCCUUUGACAACUCUAGAGAUAGAGCUUUCCCCUUCGGGGGACAAAGUGACAGGUGGUGCAUGGUUGUCGUCAGCUCGUGUCGUGAGAUGUUGGGUUAAGUCCCGCAACGAGCGCAACCCUUAAGCUUAGUUGCCAUCAUUAAGUUGGGCACUCUAAGUUGACUGCCGGUGACAAACCGGAGGAAGGUGGGGAUGACGUCAAAUCAUCAUGCCCCUUAUGACUUGGGCUACACACGUGCUACAAUGGACAAUACAAAGGGCAGCGAAACCGUGAGGUCAAGCAAAUCCCAUAAAGUUGUUCUCAGUUCGGAUUGUAGUCUGCAACUCGACUACAUGAAGCUGGAAUCGCUAGUAAUCGUAGAUCAGCAUGCUACGGUGAAUACGUUCCCGGGUCU
rnacentral:rRNA from 1 species